CCUACCUGUGCUCUUUUUGAGAGGCAUUAUUGCAUAGUGGCUAAGAGCAUGGACUCUCGAGCUUGAAUUGCCUGUAUUUUCAGUCCUGACUUCACUCCUUCUCAGCUAUGUGAACUAACCUCUCUGUGCCUCAGCCUCAUUUGUGAGUGGGAAGAAUAAACUUAACCUGCCUCAAAAGGUGGUGAUGAGCAUUGAAGGAGUUAAUAUCCAGUGUGUAAAAGAACUAUCAUCACAGAGUAAGCACCACAUCCUGUGGAAAGGCUCCUGAGUGUGUACUGAGGAGGAGAGACUGUCUGCAACCCCGGAAGUGGGCCCUUUCCAAGAACCAAAUCUGCUGGCACGCUGACCUUGGACAUCCCAGUCUCCAGAACUGUGCGAAAUGUCUUGCUAAGUCACCCAGCCUCUAGUAUUUGCCAUAGCAGCCUGAGUCGGCUAAGUGCACACUGCUGGGUUGACAGAUACUUGAGGGGAAUGCGAAUUAGAUCAACUUCAACUAAAUGUGCCAAAUGGGAUUUACUUUGAUUAAGGCACAUUUAGUGUCAUGAACAAAGUCAACAAAUGUACUUUUUUUUUAAAGCAUGUUGCAUUAGCAAUAUAAUGAGCCCAAUUCACUUACUUUCUUAUUUUUAUUUUUUAGUGAGCAAGGAGGGAGAGGGGCCAAAGGAGAGAAAGGAAAUCAGGCUCCCUGCUCAGCCUACAGCCCCACAUGGAGCUCAGUCCCACAAAGUGUGAGAUCACGUCCUGAGCCAAAAUCAGGAGUCGGGUGCCCAAUCGAGUGAGGCACCAAAGGUACCCCUCCACUUAAAAUCUUAAAGUCAGGAAACCUUACUUGGAGAGUGAAAUUACCAUAAAUUGAGAAGGCUUGUAACGGGGGAAAACAAGUAUUUUCUUGGUCUUUAAUGGCACCUGAGAAGGAGAUUAAAUGCUCAUGAGACAGUCUAUGGCAACUUAAUUGUUCUAGUAUUGUCUUAUAACUACCCACCUAAAAAGAUAAGUGUUCCCAGUGAUACAAGGAUGUAGCUAAACACUACAUUUUUAAGAGCUGGGUUUU